rnacentral:rRNA from 1 species
CAGUCGCCACGGGAAUACGAAGGGUGCAAGCGUUACUCGGAAUUACUGGGCGUAAAGCGUGCGUAGGUGGUGGUUUAAGUCCGUUGUGAAAGCCCUGGGCUCAACCUGGGAAUUGCAGUGGAUACUGGGCGACUAGAGUAAGGUAGAGGAUAGUGGAAUUUCCGGUGUAGCAGUGAAAUGCGUAGAGAUCGGAAGGAACAUCUGUGGCGAAGGCGACUAUCUGGGCCAUUACUGACACUGAGGCACGAAAGCGUGGGGAGCAAACAGGAUUAGAUACCCGUGUAGUCCCUGUCUCUUAUAC